rnacentral:tRNA from 1 species
UCUCUGGUGGUCCAGCGGUUAAGAUGUUGACUUCCAAUGCAAGGGAUGCAGGUUUGAAUCCUGGUCAGGGAG